CACGUAGGGUGCGAGCGUUGUCCGGAAUUAUUGGGCGUAAAGAGCUCGUAGGCGGUGUGUCGCGUCGGCCGUGAAAACCUGCAGCUUAACUGUGGGCUUGCGGUCGAUACGGGCAUCACUGGAGUUCGGCAGGGGAGACUGGAAUUCCUGGUGUAGCGGUGAAAUGCGCAGAUAUCAGGAGGAACACCAGUGGCGAAGGCGGCUACCUGGACCGGUUCUGACGCUGAUGCGCGAAAGCGUGGGUAGCAAACAGG
rnacentral:rRNA from 1 species